AACGAACGCUGGCGGCAUGCCUAACACAUGCAAGUCGAACGAGACCUUCGGGUCUAGUGGCGCACGGGUGCGUAACGCGUGGGAACCUGCCCUUAGGUUCGGAAUAACUCCCCGAAAGGGGUGCUAAUACCGGAUAAUGUCUUCGGACCAAAGAUUUAUCGCCUUUGGAUGGGCCCGCGUUGGAUUAGCUAGUUGGUAGGGUAAAAGCCUACCAAGGCGACGAUCCAUAGCUGGUCUGAGAGGAUGAUCAGCCACACUGGGACUGAGACACGGCCCAGACUCCUACGGGAGGCAGCAGUGGGGAAUAUUGGACAAUGGGCGAAAGCCUGAUCCAGCAAUGCCGCGUGAGUUAUGAAGGCCUUAGGGUUGUAAAGCUCUUUUACCCGUGAUGAUAAUGACAGUACCGGGAGAAUAAGCUCCGGCUAACUCCGUG
rnacentral:rRNA from 1 species